AUUGAACGCUGGCGGCAGGCCUAACACAUGCAAGUCGAGCGGUAGAGAGGUGCUUGCACCUCUUGAGAGCGGCGGACGGGUGAGUAAUGCCUAGGAAUCUGCCUGGUAGUGGGGGAUAACGUUCGGAAACGGACGCUAAUACCGCAUACGUCCUACGGGAGAAAGCAGGGGACCUUCGGGCCUUGCGCUAUCAGAUGAGCCUAGGUCGGAUUAGCUAGUUGGUGAGGUAAUGGCUCACCAAGGCGACGAUCCGUAACUGGUCUGAGAGGAUGAUCAGUCACACUGGAACGGAGACACGGUCCAGACUCCUACGGGAGGCAGCAGUGGGGAAUAUUGGACAAUGGGCGAAAGCCUGAUCCAGCCAGGCCGCGUGUGUGAAGAAGGUCUUCGGAUUGUAAAGCACUUUAAGUUGGGAGGAAGGGUACUUACCUAAUACGUGAGUAUUUUGACGUUACCGGCAGAAUAAGCACCGGCUAACUCUGUGCCAGCAGCCGCCGUAAAAC
rnacentral:rRNA from 1 species